rnacentral:rRNA from 1 species
AAGCCACGGCUAACUACGUGCCAGCAGCCGCGGUAAUACGUAGGUGGCAAGCGUUGUCCGGAUUUAUUGGGCGUAAAGCGAGCGCAGGCGGUUUCUUAAGUCUGAUGUGAAAGCCCCCGGCUCAACCGGGGAGGGUCAUUGGAAACUGGGAGACUUGAGUGCAGAAGAGGAGAGUGGAAUUCCAUGUGUAGCGGUGAAAUGCGUAGAUAUAUGGAGGAACACCAGUGGCGAAGGCGGCUCUCUGGUCUGUAACUGACGCUGAGGCUCGAAAGCGUGGGGGGCAAACAGGAUUAGAUACCCUGGUAGUCCACGCCGUAAACGAUGAGUGCUAAGUGUUGGAGGGUUUCCGCCCUUCAGUGCUGCAGCUAACGCAUUAAGCACUCCGCCUGGGGAGUACGACCGCAAGGUUGAAACUCAAAGGAAUUGACGGGGGCCCGCACAAGCGGUGGAGCAUGUGGUUUAAUUCGAAGCAACGCGAAGAACCUUACCAGGUCUUGACAUCCUUUGACCACUCUAGAGAUAGAGCUUCCCCUUCGGGGGCAAAGUGACAGGUGGUGCAUGGUUGUCGUCAGCUCGUGUCGUGAGAUGUUGGGUUAAGUCCCGCAACGAGCGCAACCCUUAUUGUUAGUUGCCAUCAUUUAGUUGGGCACUCUAGCAAGACUGCCGGUGACAAACCGGAGGAAGGUGGGGAUGACGUCAAAUCAUCAUGCCCCUUAUGACCUGGGCUACACACGUGCUACAAUGGGAAGUACAACGAGUCGCAAAGUCGCGAGGCUAAGCUAAUCUCUUAAAGCUUCUCUCAGUUCGGAUUGUAGGCUGCAACUCGCCUACAUGAAGCCGGAAUCGCUAGUAAUCGCGGAUCAGCACGCCGCGGUGAAUACGUUCCCGGGCCUUGUACACACCGCCCGUCACACCACGAGAGUUUGUAACACCCGAAGUCGGUGAGGUAACCUUUUGGAGCCAGCCGCCUAAGGUGGGAUAGAUGAUUGGGGUGAAGUCGUAACAAGGUAGCCGUAUCGGAAGGUGCGGCUGGAUCACCU